GUUGAGAAAAUCCACUCCUAAGGAAGUCAAGACGGAGUUUCACCAUGUUAGCCAGGACGGUCUCGAUCUCCUGACCUCGUGAUCCACCCGCCUCAGCCUCCUCAAAGUGCUGGGAUUACAGGCGUGAGCCACCGCCCCCGGUCAGUGGACAUAUGCUUUCAUUUCCCUUGAUUAAAUACCUAAGGACGGAAUGGCUGAGUCACAUGUGCCUUGGUGACUGUUAAGUAAAAGCAAGUAUAUACUCAUUUCUCUCCACACUUCCCACAUACUUACCAAGCAAAAAGCCCAUGAAAAAUCUGCAGCAGCUUCUGAUAGCAGGAAGACAUUAUGUGGUACUCCUGAACUUUCACUCCUGGUCCAUCAACUACACUGUGAUUCUCAGCAGCUAAACACUAAAAAUAAAAAUGAUUUUAGGACA
rnacentral:sRNA from 1 species